AAUGCAAAAAAAAGUCACGGAUUAUCCUAUAUUUUUGGCUCUCCUAUCCGAUUCUUUUUUUUUAUAUGGCCCAUCCGCUCUAUGCGCCAUAGCCUAGUGGGUUUUUUGAUAAUGGCGGAUAAGGAG
rnacentral:ribozyme from 1 species